AUUGCUCUGUGUGUGUGUGUGUGUGUGUGUGUGUGUGUGUGUGUGUGUGUGUGUGUGUGUGUGUGUGUGUGUGUGUGUGUGCGCGUCUUCCAUCAUAAACCCAUUUCUGCUACACUCUGUGUGGGUGGCUCGCAAAGGGCAUCCUAUUAAUUGAAUUGGGCGACAUAGCUCCUCUAAAAUAGCAAACAGCAACAAGUUGUGGGCUGCAGAAGGAAGACUCACAAAGGCUUGUUUCAUGACCGGAGUUUUCAAAAGACCAACUUUGAUGUGACUGACUUGAUCUGACAUAUGGGCUGAUUUUAUUCAGCUUCUUAAUUAGCCUAAAAAGCGCCCGCUUCUCUGCCACCAGCUCCCUGGUGCUCUUUUCACAGAGUGUUUACGCGUUGCUGUAAAGCAGGAGCCACCCUGGAUGUAUUAACAGGUGCACAUCCAGGAGUCAAGAAGGGGAUGAGACCUCCUCACCAAAAUACCUCAAACAUAGCGAAUGAAUUCAAGGGGACCCACUGUAGCACGGGAGGAAAAGCGAACAUUCAAGGUGCUGUCAUUUUUUACAUGCUUCCGUGAGGUCCUUGAUGCGCUGUAGAUUUACCACCUGUGAAUCUGGCAAUCAAGGAACUGAAUAGUCUGUUCAGCAGCUCUUGAUGAGUAAAGACGGUGGAAUGCUGAGAGCUGCUGUGCCAUUAAACAGCCGCGGCUGCGGUGCCACGGGGAGAGAAACAUAGAGAGCGAGACCGCCCGCUGUUCGUGAUAAGCCCAAACUGGACCGUUCAGUGGACGAGUCGACACCACGGCGGUCGUCUGCUCUCGCCCUUGGGUCAGCGUCAGUCAUCACCGGGGUCUCACGUCAUACUGACCUGCAUCAGAGCCUUCACGGAGUCAACAACCGCCGUUCGGUUGGGAUUAUUGUUAUAUUUCACUUGUACUUUUAGGUUGUGUCUAUUGAGCAUGAGGAGAAAGACAGAUCAAACUGCCCCAUUGUUUAAAAGUGUUCAUUUGAGAGGCUGCUGUGUAUUGACACCGGCUCUGCGAGCUGUAAUUACCUCUCUGCACUGCCCACGCCGUUUAUCGCAGAAGGCAAUUAAAGCGAGUCUGACUCUGACUCUAAUGUGACCCUGUGCACCCAUCGCUUCUCCUGUGCCAACAGAGGCACAGCGCUGUCAAGUCUGCAUCUCUGUUGGCGAAUGAGUGGCAGCAUGAAACACACACACACACACACACACACACACACACACACACACACACACACACACACACACACACACACACACACACACGCACACACAUAGAACCCUAAUCUGUGGAGACAUCACACUCCAGAAAUAAUAUUAAAAUAUAUAUAUAUAUAUUU
rnacentral:lncRNA from 1 species